GGAAACUAAAUGACAUGAAAGUUGAUGAUUGAAUUGUUACUUAAGUGUUAAUAAACGUGUUCAUUCCUAUUGGUGACACAUUAUUUAGUUUGUAAAUUUUAUUUUCCUAGCAUUAUCCUAUCUCAUAUCCAAUGAUCUGAAAACUAGGUGUUUUUCCUCGAUCAAUUCGGGUACUUUUUGCAUCUUCCCAAGCUGAUCUUGAGAUUGUAUUAAAUGUGGACCGCAGUGGCAUUGCGGAUAACAAAGGCAACCCCAUCCAUGGUGACAAGCUGAUUGCUUUGAUUUCUGCUAUUGUAUUGAGGGAACACCCCGGAACCACCAUAGUGACCGAUGCGCGCACAAGUAUGGUGCUUACAUGAUUCAUCACGAAUCGAGGAGGUCACCAUUGCUUGUAACGUCUUGGUUAUCGAAAAGUGAUUGAUAAGGGAGGGCAGCUUAAUAAGGCAGGCAUUGAAACUCAUCUCAUGAUGGAAACAUCUGGACGUGGUGCUCUUAAAGAGAACCGUUUCCUUGAUGAUGGGGCUUACAUGGUGGUAAAGAUCAACAUCGAAAUGGUACGCCUGAAGCUUGCAGGAUGGGACAAAGGGUUGGAAGCAUCAUAAAAGACCUUGAAGAACCAUCAGAGUCCAUAGAGCUAAGGAUGGACGGAGUUUCUGAGCCUAGAUAUGCAAAAGAAAAAGCGGUUGAGGCCAUUGAAAUGUUCCGAGAGUACGUUGAGUAUGUACAUUGACUUUUGGGAGGGACGACUUGAAGGGUGGGAGUUAGAUUUGUGUGGCGAUUGUUGGGUCAGCGAUUGGUAGACUCAAAUGUUGCAGCUGCUGCAGUUGAUGCUCACAUGUACAGAGCAAAACUAUAGGAUGAAGAACAUGGACAGCAUGGUUGGGUACACAUUAGGCAGAGCAUUCACAAUCCGAACAUUGCACUAAACAUGCAAUCAACUGCACCUGGCUGUUGCCGAACGAUGACAAGAGUUCUUUUAUUACUUAAACGUUGAUAAAUAUGUUCAUUUCUAUUGGUGUCAGGUGACAUAUCAUUUAGUUUGUAAAUUUUGUUUACAAAUUUAGUCUUCCUAGUAUUACCCUUUAGAUAAGUAAUCCCGUUGCUCCAUUUGAUGUUCACCCUGCCAUGUAUGCAAAUUCGUAGAAUGGUGAAAAAUAUAGUUCUUAAAUGAUUGAUUCAACUGAGGGUUCGUUUUCUUUGAAGAUUCCUCAUAGCAAGUGGAAUGGAUAAAAUCCUUGACAUUAGCCAGAUUGAUAAGUACGCCAAUAGUGGAUUGUAGGCUGAGCUUCUAUAAUCUAUGGUGAAGUAGCUAGCUAGGUAUUCAAGUAACCAAGCCCAAUCGUUCCGAUCUCUAUUCCAAUAACGACAUAGCUCUGCAAAUAGUUUGACUACUCUGCCCUAUGCUUCGAGUGUCUGGCGAUUUUGAAAGAGGCAGCAGAAAAAACUGGGAAGUGAAGCAGCCGAGUUAGCUAGCAAGGUUGGAAGCAAAAGGAAGCUGCUAAAUUACACGUUCUUGUCAACUUGUCCGCACCGCAAGCAAGAUCAUCAACGUUGUCGUCAUCACCAACUCAUCUAUUAAUCUCUAGCAGUCAUAUUGUAUUUGUACAUCAAUGUAUAGGCCUUGCAUUUUAAGUGAUUCAUAUCUACUUACUAAACUAUACAUUAAAUUCUUUAUCGCACAUUCAACAUUGAAAUC